rnacentral:rRNA from 1 species
AAUUGGAGGGCAAGUCUGGUGCCAGCAGCCGCGGUAAUUCCAGCUCCAAUAGCGUAUAUUAAAGUUGUUGCAGUUAAAAAGCUCGUAGUUGAAUUUCGGGGUUAGUAGGCUGGUCAUGCCUCUGGUAUGUACUGGUCUCACUGAUUCCUCCUUCCUGAUGAACCGUAAUGCCAUUAAUUUGGUGUUGCGGGGAAUUUGGACUGUUACUUUGAAAAAAUUAGAGUGUUUAAAGCAAGCUAACGCUUGAAUACAUUAGCAUGGAAUAAUGAAAUAGGACGUUCGAUCCUAUUUUGUUGGUUUCUAGGAUUGACGUAAUGAUUAAUAGGGAUAGUUGGGGGCAUUAGUAUUCAAUUGUCAGAGGUGAAAUUCUUGGAUUUAUUGAAGACUAACUACUGCGAAAGCAUUUGCCAAGGAUGUUUUCAUUAAUCAAGAACGAAAGUUAGGGGAUCGAAGACGAUCAGAUACCGUCGUAGUCUUAACCAUAAACUAUGCCGACUAGGGAUCGGAUGAUGUUAAUUUUUUAAUGACUCAUUCGGCGCCUUACGGGAACCAAAGUGU